rnacentral:lncRNA from 1 species
AAAUAAUUAACUCACAUAUAUACCCACCAACCUUUAACAAAAGAAGUUUAAACCAAAUACAUAUCAUCACCAAGAUUUAUCAAGCUCAUAUACAGGUUAAAGCUUUCAAACAUUCUACAACACGUCAAAAGUGAUAAGAGAAGUAAAGUGUUGCAGCGGAGUACAUCAUUGGACGUUAUGUAUGAAGACACAACCAGGGGGCUUAGUCCACUGGCCACCGGGUCCUCACUUAAGUGAAGUGACCCGGGUUCGAUCCCUCUUGGGAGCGAAUUGGAGAUUGGAGAUAUAAGGUGGAUUUGGUGAAUGGAGAGAUAAGGUGGUACUUGGAGUGGAUGGGAACUAAUUACUAAAAUCUAACAUGACUUUGCCCGAUAAAAAAAAAAAAAAUGUAUGAAGACACAACAUCCUGAGCCUAUUACUAUUUACAUAACAAAAAGCUCCAGCUCAGCACACUUCCAUCUUCAUCCAAACUUAACCUGCACAUUUAGAAAGAUAUGCAGGGCUGAGUACCACAAGCACUCAGUGAACAUAUGCCGAAAACAUUUAAAACUCUGCAUGAUAAUGCUA